AAUGAAGAAGCUGGUUAUGAAGUCGGUCACUGUGAGGUUUAUAAGAAAACACAUAGUUUGGCUAAGACAAACGACUGGGCCCAUCCAAAGGGAGGAUGCUUCAUUGUAAGAAAAUUCGUUAGAAAUGCUUCGUUUUAAGAUAUUUAAGCCAUAUUUUUUAUUUAUUAUUGAUUUUCAUUUUUAUAGGCUGACUAUAAUGGGCUUCAAAGAAAUGCUAUGGAAGCAGAAAAUUCUGAGAUCAACUCAUCAAAUGGAUCACACACACUCCCUGAUAAUUUAGAAUUAUGGGUCAAAGCUACUGACGGAAAAAAGAAAGGUCGUGUGCUUGGAACCAGAGCAAGUGAUCCAAUGCCAUUACCAAUUCCUGAUAAUAUGGCGACUUCACAGAACACAACGACGAAUUAUAUAGAAAUUCAACAACAAAAAAGUAAAGAAGACUUUGAUCGGGCAAUUCAAGAGGCCAUUAGAAAACAGAUGCCGGAU
rnacentral:lncRNA from 1 species